GUACACUCCUGCGGGAGGCAGCAGUGGGGAAUAUUGGACAAUGGGCGCAAGCCUGAUCCAGCCAUGCCGCGUGAGUGAUGAAGGCCCUAGGGUUGUAAAGCUCUUUCACCGGUGAAGAUAAUGACGGUAACCGGAGAAGAAGCCCCGGCUAACUUCGUGCCAGCAGCCGCGGUAAUACGAAGGGGGCUAGCGUUGUUCGGAUUUACUGGGCGUAAAGCGCACGUAGGCGGACUAUUAAGUCAGGGGUGAAAUCCCGGGGCUCAACCCCGGAACUGCCUUUGAUACUGGUAGUCUUGAGUUCGAGAGAGGUGAGUGGAAUUCCGAGUGUAGAGGUGAAAUUCGUAGAUAUUCGGAGGAACACCAGUGGCGAAGGCGGCUCACUGGCUCGAUACUGACGCUGAGGUGCGAAAGCGUGGGGAGCAAACAGGAUUAGAAACCCGAGUAGUCCCAUG
rnacentral:rRNA from 1 species